ensembl:lncRNA
GUGAGGGACUUUACAGUGUGUUUGAUGGGGAAUGUUUCCUUCUUGCAUUGAUGUACAAUGCACGGUAGCUGAGGCUGUGCUGCAGCCUGUACGAGGAGCAUGCUCACAGCUGGGCUGUGUGGUGUCCCUGACUCCUCCUGGAGCAUGCUACCUAAGGGAGUUCCUCUCAAAAAGCUGAUGAAAAAGGAAAUCCUUGGUCUGGCAAAGCCCAUUUCUCUCCCGAGCAGCGGGGCAUUGUGCAGGAGCUGCACCUCUGAAGGCCAUCUGGUCCCACCCCCUGCGAUAAGCGGGGACACCCACAGAUCCAUCAGGUGCUCAGAGCCCACCCAGUCUGACCUUGGCUGUACCCAUGGAUGGGACGUCCACCACCGCAGCACUCAGCUCUCCAGGAGCAGGCUGACACACGGACCUGGAGGAGAAGGGCAAGUUGUCGUGGCCGGCGCUGGCGCAGCAGUAGAAGCCCUGCAGGGUUUUCACCACCCGUCCUCUCGCUGGGCUGAUGUUUGAUUGCAUCCCACAGCAGCAGACUGGAGCUAUUGCAUGAUGACUUCUGCUUUGUUUGUGUCCUGCAGCUACCGAGUGGGUGACUCCUCUCACUCCACACUUACUCUCAUUAAAGAGCAG